rnacentral:rRNA from 1 species
UACGUGAAACCUCUCGGGGGUAAGCGGGCAGAACUUGCAAGUAAUGAUAAAAAGAUUCAGACUUUGUAUUGAUGGCUGAGAGUAUUUGUUAAGUUGUUUAUUCGUAAACUGACUAAUUUGUUCUCUUUGAUCUAUUAAUAAUGCGUCGCAUUUCUUUUUAUCUACGGGUUGUAUGCAACUGAAUUUGGUAAUUUAGGUGCUGAGGUACUGCAAAUCCUUGUUGGUUUGAGUCUUAGUUUCCAAUUACUUGAGCGGUUGUUAUAAUUUAAUCGAACAUGUGUUUUAACACGGUCAAUUAUUUUUACGAACAGUGUAUACUUUAUAUGUAGACGAGUAAUCGUAGCAUGUAAUUUGUACUGGUUGUCGGUGAGAAUAAAUUUUGGCAUUGUUCAUGUAUUAC